AGGAGCCAAACUGGCCCUGUUUGCAGAGAGCCACCCCUUCAAUAACGAGCAACAAGUGCUUGCCAUGAGGGAUGAGAUUCACGCCAACGAGGAGAACGUCGAGCAUUUCCACAAGAAGUCUGUAGAGAUCCAGGAAAUGCUGCAGACUCAGGAGCCUCCACUGGAGCUGCAGGUGAUGGAAACCCAGCUGAGGAAGAGGAUGGAGCAGGUGGAGGAG